rnacentral:tRNA from 1 species
AGUUAUAUAGUUUAUAAUAAAAUAUUAAUUUUGUAAAUUAAUGAAAUUUUUUUUUAUAACUA